CUUGAGUCAGAGGUGGCCAGGAGAAACUGUUUGCAGCUGAUUCUUCAGCCAUGCAUCCCUGGCCAUCAAGGAAGAAGAACAAGGCUGUUGUGUUUCCCUAAGAAAAACAAGAGGACAAUGGCUUGUCCUGCAGUGGGAGGGAGCAGAGGCCUAAAUCAGGUCACCACGCAAUGGGGCUUUGAAAGUUUCACCAUUGAAUCCUCUCCCCAUCCUCUAAUUUUUCUUUUUCUGUUUGCCCCUUAAUCAUUGUUUUGAUAAUUAUGAUAAUAUUCACACAUUUCAAAAAGUCCAACAAACAAGGAGAAAAAAUUAGAAAUAUUUGCACUUUUUCUGUGUAGAAAGGUAACUAUUGUUUGUACAUUUUUAGCGUCCCUUUUCCUAUUAAUGAUUUAUUGUAGACAUGGUUCCAGGGUGACUGAUUUAGGUUGACAUCAUUGUAACAGGAAUUACUGAAAUAGGAGUUAGGAUUCUACUAGGCCUUAAGGCCAGCAGCCCCAAAACAGAAUCUUGAAGUCCAAAAUGGAGCCUGCUGAGUUGUGAUCCUCCAGGGACCUUACCGAAACAUCUGUUGACUGUCCUUCAGCUGUUCCAGACCUUUCCAGAGCAUAAUCUGGCAGGCCAUUGGCUGGAGGGUACAUGGCCUGUGCAUGGGCACUGUGUGAACACUGGUUGGCCUGCUUCGGUGACUCAAGGAAGAUGUUCAUGCGUGAGGUCCCAAGAUUAGAGAAUGUACAUGUUCAAGACGUCAGCAACAAAGACAUGAAGUUUAAAAACCAAAAAAUGACUAAGAGGAAAAAAAGCACAAAACUGAAAAUACAUGGCAGAGAUCACCCCAGGAGGCCUGAAGAGAGUCAUUGGAGUGACUGCACACAGUGGGACAGCACUGUGCACUCUGUGUGGUGAAACUGCUGGGUACUGUACAUCAAGUGUCAGAUGACGCUUUGACACCAACCACAAAAGUGUUGCUAAACUUGGUGAAACUGAAAGGUGAGAGUUUCUAGAA
rnacentral:lncRNA from 1 species